GGCUUGGUGGUUGAGCGGUAAAACGCUUGGCUUCCAAAACCGGGAGUCCCGGGUUCGAAUUCUGGUGAAGACU
rnacentral:tRNA from 1 species